rfam:Bacillus galactosidilyticus strain PL133 scaffold000009, whole genome shotgun sequence.
UAACCUAUCCAGCAAUGGGUAGCUGAACGGUCAGAAGUCAGCAGAAGCCAUAGUACAAGUCGGUCUAGAACGACUUGGAAGUCGGUCUAGAACGACUUGGAAGGGGC